GAGAGAUAAUGAUUGUUUGCCUGGUAGUUGCUGUUAUAAUCUGAUGAUUCAAGGGUUUCUUCAGAGGGUCGAAGAGUUUGAAUCACCCCAAAUACACAACCAGGUAAAGCAACGAUCUCGCGUUUGGCAACUGCAGUUCAUGGUCAGUAAUUCCAGCCAGUUGAGAGAAAUGGCAGAUCUGCUAUGAAGAAUGACAGAUUCCCAGAUGAUUUGUUGGUUCUAUCAUGUGAAGAAGAUUGUGAAUUUUGUAUUCCUUUCCUCGAAAAAGAGAAAUCAGUGAGUCUUGUCGUCGGAUGGGUGUUUCCUUUUCCUGCCCAUUUGCUAAAUGCAGUGAUGUGGAGAAUGGCUUAGAAUCCAUCACUGUGAAGUCCAUUAGCUUUGGUGAUGAUGGAGUCAGAACACCUCUUAGAUCCAUCACUUCCACCUUAUUUUUGGAUCUCAUCUUACGAUCUAAUAAAUCAAUUUUGAUUUGAAAUGCUUCAUAGAUAGUGUAAAGAUUUCCACUUGCAAAUGAGUAUUUAGUUC